rnacentral:rRNA from 1 species
GUGUCAGCCGCCGCGGUAAUACGUAGGGUGCGAGCGUUGUCCGGAUUUACUGGGUUUAAAGGGUGCGUAGGCGGGCUGUUAAGUCUGGGAUGAAAUUGGUGCGCUCAACGCAUCAGCUGUCCUGGAUACUGACGGUCUUGAGUUAGGAUGAGGUUGCUGGAAUGAGUGGUGUAGCGGUGAAAUGCGUAGAGAUCACUCAGAACACCGAUUGCGAAGGCAGGCGACUGGACCUAAACUGACGCUGAGGCACGAAAGCGUGGGGAUCAAACAGGAUUAGAUACCCUCGUAGUCC